rnacentral:rRNA from 1 species
AACGAACGCUGGCGGCAUGCCUAACACAUGCAAGUCGAACGAAGCCUUCGGGCUUAGUGGCGCACGGGUGCGUAACGCGUGGGAAUCUGCCCCUUGCUUCGGAAUAACAGUUAGAAAUGACUGCUAAUACCGGAUGAAGUCUUCGGACCAAAGAUUUAUCGGCAAGGGAUGAGCCCGCGUAGCAUUAGGUAGUUGGUGGGGUAAAGGCCUACCAAGCCGACGAUCCUUAGCUGGUCUGAGAGGAUGAUCAGCCACACUGGGACUGAGACACGGCCCAGACUCCUACGGGAGGCAGCAGUGGGGAAUAUUGGACAAUGGACGCAAGUCUGAUCCAGCAAUGCCGCGUGAGUGAUGAAGGCCUUAGGGUUGUAAAGCUCUUUUACCAGGGAUGAUAAUGACAGUACCUGGAGAAUAAGCUCCGGCUAACUCCGUG